rnacentral:antisense_RNA from 1 species
UCCAACGGGCGGGCCGUGGUGGGGAGACCUUCGGGUCUGCCGGUUUGGUACACACUGGUCCGCCAACCCCGUCAUCGUGCCCGCUCACCAAU